rnacentral:rRNA from 1 species
UACGUAGGGAGCAAGCGUUGUUCGGAUUUACUGGGCGUAAAGGGCGCGUAGGCGGCAAUUCAAGUCAUCUGUGAAAUCUCCGGGCUUAACUCGGAACGGUCAGAUGAUACUGCUUUGCUAGAGUGCAGAAGGGGCAAUCGGAAUUCUCGGUGUAGCGGUGAAAUGCGUAGAUAUCGAGAGGAACACCGGUGGCGAAGGCGGCCAACUGGACGAAUACUGACGCUGAGACACGAAAGCGUGGGGAGCAAACAGG